rnacentral:rRNA from 1 species
GACGAACGCUGGCGGCGUGCUUAACACAUGCAAGUCGAACGGUGACGCUGGAGCUUGCUCCAGCUGAUCAGUGGCGAACGGGUGAGUAACACGUGAGCAACCUGCCCUUGACUCUGGGAUAACCCCGGGAAACCGGAGCUAAUACCGGAUACGAACCGCAUAGGCAUCUGCGUGGUUGGAAAGAUUUAUCGGUCAAGGAUGGGCUCGCGGCCUAUCAGCUUGUUGGUGGGGUAACGGCCCACCAAGGCGACGACGGGUAGCCGGCCUGAGAGGGCGACCGGCCACACUGGGACUGAGACACGGCCCAGACUCCUACGGGAGGCAGCAGUGGGGAAUAUUGCACAAUGGGCGAAAGCCUGAUGCAGCGACGCCGCGUGAGGGACGAAGGCCUUCGGGUUGUAAACCUCUUUCAGCAGGGAAGAAGCGAAAGUGACGGUACCUGCAGAAGAAGCACCGGCUAACUACGUGCCAGCAGCCGCCGUAACAC